UACGUAGGGGGCUAGCGUUGUCCGGAAUCAUUGGGCGUAAAGAGCGUGUAGGCGGCCCGGUAAGUCCGCUGUAAAAGUCAAAGGCUCAACCUUUGAAUGUCAGUGGAUACUGCCGGGCUAGAGUCCGGAAGAGGCGAGUGGAACUCCUGGUGUAGCGGUGGAAUGCGCAGAUAUCAGGAAGAACACCCGUGGCGAAGGCGGCUCUCUGGGACGGUACUGACGCUGAGACGCGAAAGCGUGGGAGGCGAACAGG
rnacentral:rRNA from 1 species